rnacentral:lncRNA from 1 species
UUCUAAAAGAAUUCCCAUCUAUCAAUAAAAACACUUGUUAUCCUAAUUUCUAAAUUAUAAUCUCAAAUUUACAAUAUUUAUCUACAAAAAAUUAUGACUUUCCUAAAAUAGCAGUUUUUUAAAAAUUUAUUCAAGAGUAUAACCUAUUGAUAAAAAAAUCUAAAAUAAUUCACAUCUAUCAACAAAAACUCUUGUUAUCCUAGUUUCUAAAUUAUAAUCUCAAAUCUACAAUAUUUAUCUACAAAAAAUUAUGACUUUCCUAAAAUAGCAGUUUUUUAAAAAUUUAUUCAAGAGUAUAACCUAAUGAUAAAAAAUUAUAAAGAAUUCCCAUCUAUCUACAAAUACUCUUGUUACCCUAAUUUCUCAAUCACAAUACAAAAUCUACAAUAUUUCACUGUUAAAAUGAUCACUUUUCUAAAAUAGCAGUUUUUAAAACAUUUAUUUAAAAAUCAAAUCUAUUCAUAAAAAAUUCUAAAAGAAUUCCCAUCUAUCAACAAAAACUUAUGUUAUCCUAAUUUCUAAAUUAUAAUCUCAAAUCUACAAUAUUUAUCUACAAAAAUGAUGACUUUCCUAAAAUAGCAGUUUUUAAAAAAUUUAUUCAAGAGUAUAACCUAUUGAUAAAAAAUUCUAAACGAAUUCCCAUCUAUCAAAAAACUCUUGUUAUCCUAAUUUCUACAUUAUAAUCUCAAAUCAAUAAUAUUUAUCUACAAAAAAAUGAUGACUUUCCAAAAAUAACAGUUUUUUAAAAAUUUAUUCAAGAGUAUAACCUAUUGAUAAAAAAUUCUAAAAGAAUUUUCAUCUAUCAACAAAAACUCUUGUUAUUCUAAUUUCUAAAUUAUAAUCUCAAAUCUACAAUAUUUAUUUACAAAAAAAUGAUGACUUUCCUAAAAUAGCAGUUUUUAAAAAUUUUAUUCAAGAGUAUAACCUAAUGAUAAAAAAUUAUAAAUAAUUCCCAUCUAUCUACAAAAGCUCUUGUUACCCUAAUUUCUAAAUUAUAAUCUCAAAUCUACAAUAUUUAUCAACAAAAAAUGAUGACUUUCCUACAAUAACAGUUUUUUAAAAAUUUAUUCAAGAGUAUAACCUAAUGAUAAAAACUUAUAAAGAAUUCCCAUCUAUCUACAAAAACUCUUGUUACCCUAGUUUCUAAAUUAUAAUCUCAAAUCUACAAUAUUUAUCUACAAAAAAGAUGAUUUUCCUAAAAUAGCAGUUUUAUAAAAAUUUAUUCAAGAGUAUAACCUAUUGAUAAAAAAUUCUAAAAGAAUUCCCAUCUAUCUACAAAAACUCUUGUUAUCCUAAUUUCUAAAUUAUAAUAUCAAAUCUACAUUAUUUAUCUACACAAAAUGAUGACUUUCCUAAAAUAGCAGUUUUUUAAAAUUUAUUCAAGAGUAUAACCUAUUGAUAAAAAAAUAUAAAUUAAUUCCCAUCUAUCUACAAAAACUCUUGUUACACUAAUUUCUCAAUCACAAUCCAAAAUCUACAAUAUUUCUUUGUAAAAAUGAUGACUUUCUUAAAAUAGCAGUUUUUAAAAACAAUUCUUUAAAAAUCAAAUCUAUUGAUGAUCAACAAUUCUAAAAUAAUUCCCAUCUAUAAUAAUAACACUUGUUAUCCUAAUUUCUAAAUUAUAAUCUCAAAUCUACAAUAUUUAUCUACAAAAAAUGAUGACUUUCCUAAAAUAGCAGUUUUUUAAAAAUUUAUUCAAGAGUAUAACCAAUUGAUAAAAAAUUCUAAACGAAUUCCCAUCUAUCAACAAAAACUCUUGUUAUCCUAAUUUCUAAAUUAUAAUCUCAAAUCUACAAUAUUUAUCUACAAAAAAUGAUGACUUUCCUAAAAUAGCAGUUUUUUAAAAAUUUAUUCAAGAGUAUAACCAAUUGAUAAAAAAUUCUAAACGAAUUCCCAUCUAUCAACAAAAACUCUUGUUAUCCUAAUUUCUAAAUUAUAAUCUCAAAUCUAUAAUAUUUAUCUACAAAAAAAAGAUGACUUUCCUAAAAUAACAGUUUUUUUAAAAAAAUUUCAAGAGUAUAACCUAUUGAUAAAAAAUUCUAAAAGAAUUUCCAUCUAUCAACAAAAACUCUUGUUAUUCUAAUUUCUAAAUUAUAAUCUCAAAUCUACAAUAUUUAUUUACAAAAAAUGAUGACUUUCCUAAAAUAGCAGUUUUAAAAAAAUGUAUUCAAGAGUAUAACCUAAUGAUAAAAAAUUAUAAAGAAUUCCCAUCU